CCUACGGGAGGCAGCAGUGGGGAAUAUUGGACAAUGGGGGCAACCCUGAUCCAGCCAUGCCGCGUGUGUGAAGAAGGCCCUCGGGUUGUAAAGCACUUUCAGUGAGGAAGAACGCCUGUUGGUUAAUACCCAUCAGGAAAGACAUCACUCACAGAAGAAGCACCGGCUAACUCCGUGCCAGCAGCCGCGGUAAUACGGAGGGUGCGAGCGUUAAUCGGAAUUACUGGGCGUAAAGCGCGCGUAGGUGGCUUGAUAAGCCGGGUGUGAAAGCCCCGGGCUCAACCUGGGAACGGCAUCCGGAACUGUCAAGCUAGAGUGCAGGAGAGGAAGGUAGAAUUCCCGGUGUAGCGGUGAAAUGCGUAGAGAUCGGGAGGAAUACCAGUGGCGAAGGCGGCCUUCUGGACUGAAACUGACACUGAGGUGCGAAAGCGUGGGUAGCAAACAGGAUUAGAUACCCUAGUAGUC
rnacentral:rRNA from 1 species